GUGACUGCGUACCUUUUGUAUAAUGGGUCAGCGACUUAUAUUCUGUAGCAAGGUUAACCGAAUAGGGGAGCCGGAGGGAAACCGAGUCUUAACCGGGCGUUAAGUUGCAGGGUAUAGACCCGAAACCCGGUGAUCUAGCCAUGGGCAGGUUGAAGGUUGGGUAACACUAACUGGAGGACCGAACCGACUAAUGUUGAAAAAUUAGCGGAUGACCUGUGGCUGGGGGUGAAAGGCCAAUCAAACCGGGAGAUAGCUGGUUCUCCCCGAAAGCUAUUUAGGUAGCGCCUCGUGAAUUCAUCUCCGGGGGUAGAGCACUGUUUCGGCUAGGGGGCCAUCCCGGCUUACCAACCCGAUGCAAACUGCGAAUACCGGAGAAUGUUAUCACGGGAGACACACGGCGGGUGCUAACGUCCGUCGUGAAGAGGGAAACAACCCAGACCGCCAGCUAAGGUCCCAAAGUCAUGGUUAAGUGGGAAACGAUGUGGGAAGGCCCAGACAGCCAGGAUGUUGGCUUAGAAGCAGCCAUCAUUUAAAGANGCCAGCUAAGGUCCCAAAGUCAUGGUUAAGUGGGAAACGAUGUGGGAAGGCCCAGACAGCCAGGAUGUUGGCUUAGAAGCAGCCAUCAUUUAAAGAAAGCGUAAUAGCUCACUGGUCGAGUCGGCCUGCGCGGAAGAUGUAACGGGGCUAAACCAUGCACCGAAGCUGCGGCAGCGAACGUAUCACCCAAGACAACUUUACGGAGUUGACGAUUGACGGAGCGAAGCGACGUCAAAGCGUUCAUUAAAGUCGAGUUGGCUUAGGGAUACGUUCNAAAGCGUAAUAGCUCACUGGUCGAGUCGGCCUGCGCGGAAGAUGUAACGGGGCUAAACCAUGCACCGAAGCUGCGGCAGCGACGCUUAUGCGUUGUUGGGUAGGGGAGCGUUCUGUAAGCCUGUGAAGGUGGCCUGUGAGGGUUGCUGGAGGUAUCAGAAGUGCGAAUGCUGACAUAAGUAACGAUAAAGCGGGUGAAAAGCCCGCUCGCCGGAAGACCAAGGGUUCCUGUCCAACGUUAAUCGGGGCAGGGUGAGUCGACCCCUAAGGCGAGGCCGAAAGGCGUAGUCGAUGGGAAACGGGUUAAUAUUCCCGUACUUGGUGUUACUGCGAAGGGGGGACGGAGAAGGCUAUGUUGGCCGGGCGACGGUUGUCCCGGUUUAAGCGUGUAGGUGUGUGUUCCAGGUAAAUCCGGUUCACUUUAACACUGAGGCGUGAUGACGAGGCACUACGGUGCUGAAGCAACAAAUGCCCUGCUUCCAGGAAAAGCCUCUAAGCAUCAGGUAACAUCAAAUCGUACCCCAAACCGACACAGGUGGUCAGGUAGAGAAUACCAAGGCGCUUGAGAGAACUCGGGUGAAGGAACUAGGCAAAAUGGUGCCGUAACUUCGGGAGAAGGCACGCUGAUAUGUAGGUGAAGCGGUUUACCCGUGGAGCUGAAAUCAGUCGAAGAUACCAGCUGGCUGCAACUGUUUAUUAAAAACACAGCACUGUGCAAACACGAAAGUGGACGUAUACGGUGUGACGCCUGCCCGGUGCCGGAAGGUUAAUNAAGUCAGUCGAAGAUACCAGCUGGCUGCAACUGUUUAUUAAAAACACAGCACUGUGCAAACACGAAAGUGGACGUAUACGGUGUGACGCCUGCCCGGUGCCGGAAGGUUAAUUGAUGGGGUCAGCGCAAGCGAAGCUCCUGAUCGAAGCCCCGGUAAACGGCGGCCGUAACUAUAACGGUCCUAAGGUAGCGAAAUUCCUUGUCGGGUAAGUUCCGACCUGCACGAAUGGCGUAAUGAUGGCCAGGCUGUCUCCACCCGAGACUCAGUGAAAUUGAACUCGCUGUGAAGAUGCAGUGUACCCGCGGCAAGACGGAAAGACCCCGUGAACCUUUACUAUAGCUUGACACUGAACAUUGAGCCUUGAUGUGUAGGAUAGGUGGGAGGCUUUGAAGUGUGGACGCCAGUCUGCAUGGAGCCGACCUUGAAAUACCACCCUUUAAUGUUUGAUGUUCUAACGUGGACCCGU
rnacentral:rRNA from 1 species